rnacentral:rRNA from 1 species
AUUGAACGCUGGCGGCAUGCCUUACACAUGCAAGUCGAACGGCAGCACGGGGCAACCUGGUGGCGAGUGGCGAACGGGUGAGUAAUGCAUCGGAACGUACCUUUCAGUGGGGGAUAACGUAGCGAAAGUUACGCUAAUACCGCAUAUUCUGUGAGCAGGAAAGCAGGGGAUCGCAAGACCUUGCGCUGAUUGAGCGGCCGAUGUCAGAUUAGCUAGUUGGUGAGGUAAAGGCUCACCAAGGCGACGAUCUGUAGCGGGUCUGAGAGGAUGAUCCGGCACACUGGAACUGAGACGCAGUCCAGACUCCGACGGGAGGCAGCAGUGGGGAAUUUUGGACAAUGGGGGCAACCCUGAUCCAGCCAUGCCGCGUGAGUGAAGAAGGCCUUCGGGUUGUAAAGCUCUUUCGGCCGGGAAGAAAUCGCACGGGCUAAUACCCUGUGUGGAUGACGGUACCGGAAUAAGAAGCACCGGCUAACUACGUGCCAGCCGCCGCAGUAACAC